UACGGGGGGGGCAAGCGUUGUUCGGAAUUACUGGGCGUAAAGGGCUCGUAGGCGGCCAACUAAGUCAGACGUGAAAUCCCUCGGCUUAACCGGGGAACUGCGUCUGAUACUGGAUGGCUUGAAUCCGGGAGAGGGAUGCGGAAUUCCAGGUGUAGCGGUGAAAUGCGUAGAUAUCUGGAGGAACACCAACGGCGAAGGCAGCUCGCUGGGACGGUACUGACGCUGAGACGCGAAAGCGUGGGGAGCGAACAGG
rnacentral:rRNA from 1 species